rnacentral:rRNA from 1 species
UACGUAGGCAGCAAGCGUUGUUCGGAGUUACUGGGCGUAAAGGGUGUGUAGGCGGCCAGGUAGGUCUGCUGUGAAAACUCGAGGCUCAACCUCGAGACGUCGGCGGAAACCAUCUGGCUAGAGUCCGGAAGAGGAGAGUGGAAUUCCUGGUGUAGCGGUGAAAUGCGCAGAUAUCAGGAAGAACACCCGUGGCGAAGGCGGCUCUCUGGGACGGUACUGACGCUGAGACGCGAAAGCGUGGGGAGCGAACAGG